CAACUGACAGCGAUGGGCUAUAG
rnacentral:sRNA from 1 species